UACCCGCUGAAUUUAAGCAUAUAACUAAGCGGAGGAAAAG
rnacentral:rRNA from 1 species